CCUUGAUCUCUUGAUCCCUAUAGUUUCUUCCGAAUCCCCCUUGCCUUGCGAAAUUUGCAAAGACGCCUGAUUGUGACACCGCCACUGGGGGUACGGUGGCUGGGUGGGCAGGUAAAGGUGAGUUACUUGCCUGAACUGGUCCUUCACUGGCACCACCAUCUUGUUCCAGCGGGUCACCGCAUUGAGGUGUAUGCAGGAUGCAGGAGAUCCUCUAUAUACUAAGCCAAUUACCUGUCAGGAUUUACUCUGUACCACUGUGGAAAUAUAGAGAGAAAGUAGG